rnacentral:rRNA from 1 species
CGCUCAGAUUGAACGCUGGCGGCAGGCCUAACACAUGCAAGUCGAACGGUAGCACAGAGGAGCUUGCUCCUUGGGUGACGAGUGGCGGACGGGUGAGUAAUGUCUGGGAAACUGCCCGAUGGAGGGGGAUAACUACUGGAAACGGUAGCUAAUACCGCAUAACGUCGCAAGACCAAAGAGGGGGACCUUCGGGCCUCUUGCCAUCGGAUGUGCCCAGAUGGGAUUAGCUAGUAGGUGGGGUAACGGCUCACCUAGGCGACGAUCCCUAGCUGGUCUGAGAGGAUGACCAGCCACACUGGAACUGAGACACGGUCCAGACUCCUACGGGAGGCAGCAGUGGGGAAUAUUGCACAAUGGGCGCAAGCCUGAUGCAGCCAUGCCGCGUGUAUGAAGAAGGCCUUCGGGUUGUAAAGUACUUUCAGCGAGGAGGAAGGCGUUAAGGUUAAUAACCGUAACGAUUGACGUUACUCGCAGAAGAAGCACCGGCUAACUCCGUGCCAGCAGCCGCGGUAAUACGGAGGGUGCAAGCGUUAAUCGGAAUUACUGGGCGUAAAGCGCACGCAGGCGGUCUGUCAAGUCGGAUGUGAAAUCCCCGGGCUCAACCUGGGAACUGCAUCCGAAACUGGCAGGCUAGAGUCUUGUAGAGGGGGGUAGAAUUCCAGGUGUAGCGGUGAAAUGCGUAGAGAUCUGGAGGAAUACCGGUGGCGAAGGCGGCCCCCUGGACAAAGACUGACGCUCAGGUGCGAAAGCUUGGGGAGCAAACAGGAUUAGAUACCCUGGUAGUCCACGCCGUAAACGAUGUCGACUUGGAG